rfam:Cariama cristata contig76094, whole genome shotgun sequence.
CAUGCCCCAGCUCGUGUUGCAGAUGUGGCUUAUGUGCCACGUUUGUGUCAUUAGGUGGCAGAGAGGAAAAGGCUGUGUCUUUGCUGGUGCUCCGAAACCUGUGAGCACCCAGGAAUGAUGAGCAACCUGACAAU